AGUGUCUGUUACAGAUUGUGAUGUCCUUAUUUUCAUAUAUGCUGGGGUACUGUUGGCUGUUUGUUCUGUUCCUCGGUAGACCGGCUAGGUUUUUCUCUUGUGUGUAGGGGGUAAUGGAAUCUGCUCCCUCCUACCAUGCCAACAUCUUCCUC